UACGUAGGGGGCAAGCGUUGUUCGGAAUUACUGGGCGUAAAGGGCGCGUAGGCGGCCUGUUAAGUCGAACGUGAAAUCCCCGGGCUCAACCCGGGAACUGCGUCCGAUACUGGCAGGCUUGAAUUCGGGAGAGGGAUGUGGAAUUCCAGGUGUAGCGGUGAAAUGCGUAGAUAUCUGGAGGAACACCGGUGGCGAAGGCGGCAUCCUGGACCGAUAUUGACGCUGAUGCGCGAAAGCCAGGGGAGCAAACGGG
rnacentral:rRNA from 1 species